CUUAAACCAUUUUUAUCGACAGUGUCGCAAAAUGGAUGUAAUUUUAAUUCAUAUUCCGGCCUAAAUGGAUGUGCGUCGUUAGUGCGCCGGGAAUUUUAGCGUUAUAAGAAAAAGGCCGGCGUGGCUACUCUGGGUGCUAUUCUGUACUUCGCUUUCGAUAACUGUCGGUUCGGUACGGUAACGACGUUUGUCGCUUGCACGACCGACGGUGACCGAUCAAGGCUAUUCUGUUUGGUAAUCUAUCGUUAUUUAUAAUUUAUGACUAUGUGCAUACUGUCACGUGUUAUAUAGGCACAAAAUUUAAUAAUUAAUUAUACAAUUAUUAAAUUAAAAUGGAAUCACAAGAAACGCAAGUAUAAUAACUUCGAAAAAGAAUCGUUCUACGAGAACAACAGCAACUCAAUAUGAGGAGCUAGUAAAAUAUAUGGAAUUGCAUUCGGAAUUUACAAAAAACAAAUUUUUGACAAAGGAAGAUAAAGUACAUCAAACCCAACAAUGGGACCAAUUAGCGGCGAUGCUAAAUGGCUUAUCUAAUGGUCCUGGUAAGACGGUGAAGCAAUGGCAAACCGUUUGGCGCGACUUAAAAAGUAAUGCGUCCAAAAAGCUUCAAAAUUAAGAAUUGAGAGGAAUUGAACAGGAAAUUUUCCAGUCACUGCAGAAGGGCUCGACGAAUUGCAGAAACGCAUUAUUGGCUGCAUAGGACUAAAGUACGUCGAGGGUAGCCAAGAAUGCGCAGAUAGCAUGCCAGAGGAAGAGGAAUAUCAAAUGCAACUAGAAAGUGGAAAUAAUAGGGUCCUGCAAAUUUUUCCAACAACAACAUCACUAGCAGAGAUAAUAAACUCGGAUACAAAUAAUAACUCACAUGUGAUUGAAGUGGAAUAGAACGAAGACUUGUUAUUUAUUGAUGUAUUACAAUGUUUUCCGGACGAUGAGCAAAGUAUGAUGAGACCAGAAGAAACAUCUACAGAGAGACCGACGGAAGCAAGACCCUGAGAAGAAAGAGUAGAGGAUAGACCAAUUACAAGAAAAAGAAAAGCAACUAAUACACCGAAAAAAACAAAUAAUAAAAAAAGGAAUGAACGAAUCAGCGUGCAAUUGAAUAAAGUACGAGACAAAUUUGCACAUAUUGCUGAAGGUCACGUUGCAGCUUUACAGAUGUUUGCGGAGGCUUCGAUGAAACAGAGGCUGCAUUAUUGCAAGCGGAAAACGAACGAGAACGCAAACACCUGGAACAACAACGACUAAUAUUGGAAGAAAAAAGAUUAAAAAAUGAGGAAAAUUUAAUAAAAACGUUAAAUAAUGUACAAAAAAUUAUAAAUAAAAU